UUUAAGGAAAGAAUGAAAAAGAAGUUGAAGGCCAAAGCUCAGAAGCUGCUUCAAGUACCAAAGAGGAUAAAGAAGAGCAUGAAAAGAAUAAGAAAGAGGCUGGAGAACAAAGUUCAGAAGCUACUUCAAGUACCAAAAAGGAUAAGGAAGAGCAUGAAAAGAAUAAGAAAGAGGCUGAAGAACAAAGCUUAGAAGCUGCUUCAAGUGCUAACGAGGAUAAAGUGGAUCCAAAAAUUACCUUAAGGCCUAUAAACAUGGAAGACAUGAUUCAGGCUAAG